UACGUAGGGGCAAGCGUUGUCCGGAAUCAUUGGGCGUAAAGGGCGCGUAGGCGGCGUGACAAGUCACUUGUGAAAUCUCCGGGGCUUAACUCGGAACGGUCAAGUGAUACUGUCGGACUAGAGUACAGAAGGGGCAACGUGGAAUUCUCGGGUGUAGCGGUGAAAUGCGUAGAUAUCGAGAGGAACACCUGCGGCGAAGGCGGGUGCUGGGCGUGAUACUGACGGCUG
rnacentral:rRNA from 1 species